UUUUGGUUAGUACUCUUGAAAGUGAGAUCUAUGGAAAAUCUUUUGGGAAUCCACAAUGACUUAUUUUGGAAAGUUGAAAUUAAGGCCUCCUUCCCAUAAAUCUCUCGUUCGGUCAUCUUUAGAUUUUUCAGAUUUUUCUUGACGAGGAAUGACUACAUCCAAACCCAAGAUUGCAUCCAUUUGUCUACUAGCCUUCCUUCUCUCCUUCAUUCUCAUAGGGAUUGUGGCUGAAAAUGAUGGAUGUGUGGGAGACUGCAAGAGCCUCCAUGAGUGUAUGAAGAAAUGUGAUGCAUGGGGUUAUGAUGCAAGUCUUGCUGAAUGCUUUCCUAGAUGGGAAGCACCCAUUGGUGAUUGCUGUUGUAAGAAAACCUAUUUCUGAUUCUUGCUUGUUAAGAAACCUCACCCAUGGGAAAAUUUUGAGAUGGAAGAUUGUCUCAUGUGUAACAGAAAUAUUAUACAAUGAAGAGUUUGUUUAGAUUC